CCCAAUUUUUUCGUCCGUUUUUUUAUUGCCCAUAUUUUUGUGACAAAAUUACAAGCACUGCCACCGUUCAGUUGAAAAACGGUUCGCUUGUUCUGUUUUCCCCCUAUCCGAUCGCUUGAUUCCAUCCCCUCCGCACAGACCUCCUGGUACAGGAAGUGGCGAGGCGAGGCGAGGCGAGGCGAGGGAAGCAGGCGCCGCAGGAGGCGGGGAGGAUCUCCUGGUGAGGAAGGCGUGCGCGCAGGACGUCAAGGUCUUCCCCGCGUCUCCACCUGUUGAUCCCGCCGCCGAUUUAACUCCAGCCACCGCCGGUGCUCUCCGGGUAGGGAAUUGGAGGCGACGGUGCGGCCCUUCACCGGCCAGCCAGAGGGUCGAGGUCCUACCGUCGCUUGCGCGGAGGGCAAGAGGGUCGAGGCCCUUGUGCUGCUUCCCUCCACGUCCCGCCGCCGGACUAGACGGCCGGCCUAUUCCGUUCGUCACCGCUCUGUGCAAGAUAAGCCACCAUCUUUCUUUUUUAUUUCGUAUUAGCAUACAAGACUAAAUGUGAGGAAACUUCGCUGCUACCUUUGGCAGUCUCCUGGAACACACCAAGUUCCUAAUUUCAAAAUUUCUCCCCAGCUUUCAAUCCUCGACUGAUUGAAAUCUCUGGAUGUACGUUGUGUGUGCCCAACAACUGUUUGUAUUAAUGCUGAAAGAGAGGACAAAGGAGGCAGCGGGCGUGCAGGCACUGAUUCGAUGGAGGGGGCUCUGGAUGGAGCGUGGAGGCGCUGGUGAGAUGGAGGCCGAUUCCAGUCACCGAGGCUCACGACUUUGGGUGGACAAAACUGGCCGGCAAAUAGAACGAAGCCAACCGCCGCCAUAGGCGUCCACUCCAAGACCGCCCGGGUCCAGCACUCGGAGUCCCACCAGAGCGUGUCCAAGCUGCUUGAAGACCUGGAGCAAGCAAGAUGAACCCCAGUCUCAGAGGCAAGUUGCGAGCAAAAUGUUGGCAAUGAUGUGGCAAGGGCUGUAUCUUUGACUUCUUCACAAUUUUCUGGAUCAAGCCACAACGUCAACAGCAGCAAGAAUCGCAGAGGACUCUCCGUCUGCAGAAAGUGAUAGCAGUACCAGCACAGAUGGUUAAUCUCGAAGCACUGAACAGGAUUGCUCUGUAUCAGUGUAGAACUAGAGUAUAACUUCAUUAACCGUACUUCUUGUUAGUAACUUGCUCCUGGAACCUCUUAACCGGCUAUUAGGUCAUGUUUUACUUACUGCCACGUGCUCAUUUUGUCAGAGCUGUAUUGCUUAAAAGAGAGCACACUCUUCAUUUUGGCAUGUAUGGACUGGCUUCA